rnacentral:rRNA from 1 species
ACGAACGCUUGCCGCGUGCUUAACCCAUGCACGUCGCACGGAAAGGCCCCGCUUUUGUGGGGUGCCCGAGUGGCGAACGGGUGAGUAACACGUGAGUAACCUGCCCCUGACUUUGGGAUAACUUCAGGAAACCGGGGCUAAUACCGGAUAGGAGCUCCUGCUGCAUGGUGGGGGGUGGAAAGUUUCGGCGGUUGGGGAUGGACUCGCGGCUAAUCAGCUUGUUGGUGGGGUAGUGGCUUACCAAGGCUUUGACGGGUAGCCGGCCUGAGAGGGUGACCGGCCACAUUGGGACUGAGAUACGGCCCAGACUCCUACGGGAGGCAGCAGUGGGGAAUAUUGCACAAUGGGCGGAAGCCUGAUGCAGCAACGCCGCGUGCGGGAUGACGGCCUUCGGGUUGUAAACCGCUUUCGCCUGUGACGAAGCGUGAGUGACGGUAAUGGGUAAAGAAGCACCGGCUAACUACGUG